CCUACGGGUGGCUGCAGUGGGGAAUAUUGGGCAAUGGGCGCAAGCCUGACCCAGCAACGCCGCGUGAAGGAAGAAGGCCUUCGGGGUGGAAACCUCUUUUCUCAGGGACGAAGGAUGUGACGGUACCUGCGGAAUAAGCCAAGGUUAACUACGAGCCAGCCGCCGCGGUAAUACGUAGGUGGCAAGCGUUAUCAGGCUUUAGUGGGUGUAAAGGGCGUGUAGGCGGGAGGGCAAGUCAGUUGUGAAAUCUCAGGGCUCAACCCUGAGACUGCAUUUGAAACUGUGUUUCUUGAGUGCUGGAGAGGCAAUCGGAAUUCCGGGUGUAGCGGUGAAAUGCGUAGAUAUACGGAGGAACACCAGUGGCGAAGGCGGAUUACUGGACAGUAACUGACGCUGAGGCGCGAAAGCGUGGGGAGCAAACAGGAUUAGAUACCCCUGUAGUC
rnacentral:rRNA from 1 species